rnacentral:tRNA from 2 species
AGUUAAUGAACUUGAAUAAGUAUAUAUUUUGAAAAUAUAAAAAAGAAAUUAAAAUUUUCUAUUAACUU